AGAGCGAACGCUGGCGGCAGGCUUAACACAUGCAAGUCGAGCGGAUGUAGCAAUACAUCAGCGGCAGACGGGAGAGGAACACGUGGGAACGCGCCCUUUGGUUCGGAAUAACUCAGGGAAACUUGAGCUAAUACCGGAUAAGCCCUUACGGGGAAAGAUUUAUCGCCAAAGGAACGGCCCGCGUCCGAUUAGCUAGUUGGUGAGGUAAUGGCUCACCAAGGCGACGAUCGGUAGCUGGUCUGAGAGGAUGACCAGCCUCACUGGGACUGAGACACGGCCCAGACUCCUACGGGAGGCAGCAGUGGGGAAUAUUGGACAAUGGGCGCAAGCCUGAUCCAGCCAUGCCGCGUGAGUGAUGAAGGCCUUAGGGUUGUAAAGCUCUUUUAGCAGGGAAGAUAAUGACGGUACCUGCAGAAAAGCCCCGGCUAACUUCGUGCCAGCAGCCGC
rnacentral:rRNA from 1 species